rnacentral:sRNA from 1 species
UGCGUCUCGGGCUGGUGACUGGGUCCAGAAUGGCUUCGGACUCGGGGAACCAGGGGACCCUCUGCACGUUGGAGUUCACGGUGCAGAUGACCUGUCAGAGCUGUGUGGACGCGGUGCGCAAGUCCCUGCAAGGGGUGGCAGGUGUCCAGGAUGUGGAGGUGCACUUGGAGGACCAGAUGGUCUUGGUACACACCACUCUGCCCAGCCAGGAGGUGCAAGCUCUCCUGGAAGGCACGGGGCGGCAGGCGGUACUCAAGGGCAUGGGCAGCGGCCAGUUGCGUGAGUGACCACGGUGGCCUUGGCCCCCCUGGGAGGGAGGUGGCUCAGAGCUGGUACAAAUCUAACCAUAGGAUUCUCGGGCUCUGGGUUGGAGUGGCUUUGAGGAAGGUGUGAAAAUUAUGUGAGACUCCCUGCCCUUCCCGAGCUACUGAAAAGGUGUGCUGGGUGAGGUGGCAACCCAGCCCAAGUGUCUAAUACCUUGCAGAGAAUCUGGGGGCAGCAGUGGCCAUCCUGGGGGGGCCUGGCACCGUGCAGGGGGUGGUGCGCUUCCUACAGCUGACCCCUGAGCGCUGCCUCAUCGAGGGAACUAUUGACGGCCUGGAGCCUGGGCUGCAUGGACUCCACAUCCAUCAGUAUGGGGACCUCACAAACAACUGCAACAGCUGUGGGAACCACUUUAACCCUGAUGGAGCAUCUCAUGGGGGCCCCCAGGACUCCGACCGGACAGGGCCAAGAAGACCUUGCCUGCCCAGUCCUUGGGGAGCUCAGAUCCUACCAGACUGGUACCCACAGGAGGAAAUGGGUACUUUAGGGAAGCAGGAAGAGGCAUCGCAAUCAGGAAGUCAGAAGAUAGCAGCUUGGCACCACG